GCGGAGGAAAAGAAACCAACAGGGAUUGCCUCAGUAACGGCGAGUGAAGCGGCAACAGCUCAAAUUUGAAAUCUGGCCUCACGGUCCGAGUUGUAAUUUGUAGAGGAUGCUUCGAACGCGGUCCGGUCUAAGUUCCUUGGAACAGGACGUCAUAGAGGGUGAGAAUCCCGUAUGUGACCGGGUGCCUAAGUUCAUGUGAAGCUCCUUCGACGAGUCGAGUUGUUUGGGAAUGCAGCUCAAAAUGGGUGGUAAAUUUCAUCUAAAGCUAAAUAUUGGCCAGAGACCGAUAGCGCACAAGUAGAGUGAUCGAAAGAUGAAAAGCACUUUGGAAAGAGAGUUAAACAGUACGUGAAAUUGUUGAAAGGGAAGCGCUUGCAACCAGACUUGCACGCAGUCGAUCAUCCGGUGUUCUCACCGGUGCACUCGAUUGCGUUCAGGCCAGCAUCGGUUUUGGUGGUUGGAUAAAGGCCUUGGGAAUGUAGCUCCUCUCGGGGAGUGUUAUAGCCCUCGGUGCAAUGCAGCCUACCGGGACCGAGGACCGCGCUUCGGCUAGGAUGCUGGCGUAAUGGUUGUAAGCGACCCGUCUUGAAACACGGACCAAGGAGUCUAACAUCUAUGCGAGUGUUUGGGUGUCAAACCCAUACGCGUAAUGAAAGUGAACGGAGGUGAGAACCCUUAAGGGUGCAUCAUCGACCGAUCCUGAUGUCUUCGGAUGGAUUUGAGUAAGAGCAUAGCUGUUGGGACCCGAAAGAUGGUGAACUAUGCCUGAAUAGGGUGAAGCCAGAGGAAACUCUGGUGGAGGCUCGCAGCGGUUCUGACGUGCAAAUCGAUCGUCAAAUUUGGGUAUAGGGGCGAAAGACUAAUCGAACCAU
rnacentral:rRNA from 1 species